AUCGCGGCUAAGAACAUUUCUGAAGCUGAGGAGUGGUACAAGUCGAAGGUGUCAGACCUGACCCAGGCAGCCAACAAGAACAACGACGCCCUGCGCCAGGCCAAGCAGGAGAUGAUGGAAUACCGACACCAGAUCCAGUCCUACACCUGCGAGAUUGACGCCCUGAAGGGCACUAACGAUUCCCUGAUGAGGCAGAUGCGGGAAUUGGAGGACCGAUUUGCCAGUGAGGCCAGUGGCUACCAGGACAACAUUGCGCGCCUGGAGGAGGAAAUCCGGCACCUCAAGGAUGAGAUGGCCCGCCAUCUGCGCGAGUACCAGGACCUGCUCAACGUGAAGAUGGCCCUGGAUGUGGAGAUUGCCACCUACCGGAAGCUGCUGGAGGGAGAGGAGAGAUCAAUCUCCCCAUCCAGACCUACUCUGCCCUCAACUUCCGAGAAACCAGCCCUGAGCAAAGGGGUUCUGAGGUCCAUACCAAGAAGACGGUGAUGAUCAAGACCAUCGAGACACGGGAUGGGGAGGUCGUCAGUGAGGCCACACAGCAGCAGCAUGAAGUGCUCUAAAGACAGAGACCCUCUGCCACCAGAGACCGUCCUCACCCCUGUCCUCACUGCUCCCUGAAGCCAGCCUUCUUCCAUCCCAGGACACCACACCCAGCCUCAGUCCUCCCCUCACAGCCUCUGACCCCUCCUCACUGGCCAUCCCUCGUGGUCCCCAACAGCGACAUAGCCCAUCCCUGCCUGGUCACAGGGCAUGCCCCGGCCACCUCUGCGGACCCCAGCUGUGAGCCUUGGCUGUUGGCAGUGAGUGAGCCUGGCUCUUGUGCUGGAUGGAGCCCAGGCGGGAGCGGUGGCCCUGUCCCUCCCACCUCUGUGACCUCAGGCACUAGCCUUUGGCUCUGGAGACAGCCCCAGAGCAGGGUGUUGGGAUACUGCAGGGCCAGGACUGAGCCCCGCAGACCUCCCCAGCCCCUAGCCCAGGAGAGAGAAAGCCAGGCAGGUAGCCAGGGGGACUAGCCCCUGUGGAGACUGGGGGGCUUGAAAUUGUCCCCGUGGUCUCUUACUUUCCUUUCCCCAGCCCAGGGUGGACUUAGAAAGCAGGGGCUACAAGAGGGAAUCCCCGAAGGUGCUGGAGGUGGGAGCAGGAGAUUGAGAAGGAGAGAAAGUGGGUGAGAUGCUGGAGAAGAGAGGAGAGGAGAGAGGCAGAGAGCGGUCUCAGGCUGGUGGGAGGGGCGCCCACCUCCCCACGCCCUCCCCUCCCCUGCUGCAGGGGCUCUGGAGAGAAACAAUAAAGAGAUUCAC
rnacentral:lncRNA from 1 species